GAUGAACGCUGGCGGCGUGCCUAAUACAUGCAAGUCGAGCGAACAGACGAGGAGCUUGCUCCUCUGACGUUAGCGGCGGACGGGUGAGUAACACGUGUAUAACCUACCUAUAAGACUGGGAUAACUUCGGGAAACCGGAGCUAAUACCGGAUAAUAUAUUGAACCGCAUGGUUCAAUAGUGAAAGACGGUUUUGCUGUCACUUAUAGAUGGAUCCGCGCCGCAUUAGCUAGUUGGUAAGGUAACGGCUUAGCAAGGCGACGAUGCGUAGCCGAACUGAGAGGGUGAUCGGCCACACUGGAGCUGAGACACGGUCCAGACGCCUACGGGAGGCAGCAGUAGGGAAUCUUCCGCAAUGGGCGAAAGCCUGACGGAGCAACGCCGCGUGAGUGAUGAAGGUCUUCGGAUCGUAAAACUCUGUUAUUAGGGAAGAACAAAUGUGUAAGUAACUAUGCACGUCUUGACGGUACCUAAUCAGAAAGCCACGGCUAACUACGUG
rnacentral:rRNA from 1 species